GGGAGAAGGACGGGAGGAAGGGGAAAGGGGAAGGGGAAGGAAAGAGAGAGAAAGAAAGAAGGUAGCGGCAGCGCGCACACUCUCACACCCCCGCUGGAAAAGAUUGUCUCCUCUUUAGAUGUGAGCUUUCGGUGAAUACGACGAGACUGCUUGUUUUCCCCCGCAAUGAUCACUGCGUUUCUCAAGCAGUUUGCACCUACUUACGGACCUCGCAUCUUCAGCCUUGGAUCUUAAAGGAACUGAUAACUCCUCUUCCAGAAAACUGUUCGGUAACAGGUUUCCUGCCCCGGGCUUUACAAGGAUCGCUCUUGUCUCAGAGCCACCGUGUACGUACGAUUCUUUUUUUCACGGAUUUUGGUGGGGGUUUUUUUUGUUUUUUUUUUUUUUUUUUUUUGUUUUUUGUUUUUUGUUUUUUGUUUUUUUUUUUUGCGGGGGGUGGGGGAGGGCGUUAUAUAUUUUUCUGUUACCUUUUCUGCCUGUGAAGUAAUCAGGGAGAACGGCGGGAGGCUCCAUAAAUAUGCAAAUUGGCGCCAGAUAACUGGUUUCGCUGGUUCCGCCUUGGGACUCCCGCCGGGCGGCUCCGCGGGGGAGAUUGUCGCCCCCGGCCCCACGACCCGCCCCCUCUCCCCCCUCCCCGCGCCGGGCACCGCUCUCCGAGCGCGGUCCUUCCCCUCUCCCCGCCGCUGCCGCAGCUCUUCGACGCGUGCCCGCGCCUUCCAGCUCCCUGGCAGCGUCCCGAAGGAGCACCGCGUCUCGUGGCUGCUGGGUGUCACGGGGCAAAAAGUGCGGUAGGCUGAACCGUGCUCGGGCCCUUAUCCUUUCUAACUCGGCAUCCGAAGGAUUAAAAGCAGUAACUGGCUUCCGAAUUGUAAAAUGUUAAAAUGAAAGUUUGAUUCGUGGUUAAACACUCGCGGGAGCGCAUCCUUUGUGGAUUCUGAUUUGACUCUGCUGUUAAACCGACAUCGGUACUGCGCUGACGCUUUAAUUAAUAAAAGUGGUUAGAGUCCUCUCUGUCAUCUCGUUGCUUACCAGCCUCCACACAAACCGUUUCAAGAUUCUGUCUAAAUAGGAGAAUGAGAAGGGAAACAUAAGCCGCCAAAGUUACUUUGAAGGCAGAGAAGCCAGGCGGCUGACACUGAGAGGCAGGGUUUGGUCUGCAGCUCUCCGCAAUCGUCGCAGCUCCCCGCCGCGGAAGCCCGCCCGGCAGCCCGUGCUGCGACGGCACUGCGCUCGCGGAGCGCAGAGGGUGGGAGGGGAGAGGCGCUGCCACUGCCCCCGAGAUUCCCUGUGCCUGUGGAGCCGGGCCUCGCUGGGAAGGAGACGGGGGCGGCCAGAUGGACAAAGGCUGUGGGCAGAUCCGCCUCCGUGUGAGGUAGGGCGGGCGGCAAUGGCCUCGUCCGCGGAGAAGGAAUCUGGACUGCAGACUGGAGGCAGCAAUGGGGGUUACUGUUAAAGUUCAGAGUUAGCCAUUACUGAAAAUCUCAAGUAACUUCUCUGAACCGGAUUUAAGACUUCUUUUUUUUCAUGUUAACUCCAGGUUUGAUUGCCGGAAAAGGCUGACUACUAGAAUAGCAAAACCAGUCCGCCAUCCAGCAGUUGGGAAUCAAGGCCCUUCUUUACCAGAGCCCCAGCCACAUCCAUACUGUCACCCACCUUCCAGACACUCGGCACAACCAUUCACCCUAUUGAAUCAUGAGACUGUUUGAUCUUAUCUGCAUCUGUGAGCUGACUGUCAACCUGCUUACACUGCAUAUUAAAUCAUCUAUAGUAGCUGUAUCAAGCUGGGAUGAUCUGUUAAUUCUAAAUUUACUAACCCUUCGAGUGCAGUCGUUGUGUUUAAUCUAGUGUAGCCAGCAUUUAUUUUACAAGUCUAAAUCCUUCUUCAAGAUAUGUCUGUGCUGUAGGUUAAAAAAUCAUUAAUGUGUAGGAGAUGGUAAUUGGGAAGAGUUCACUUUGAUCUUUGGAAGCCAGUUGACAGCUUCACUGCUCCAAACACAUACGUGUGUGCUCUCACCACUCUCGCGUGCCCGGCGUGCUGGAUGUGUGCAUGCAUACGCACCUAAUGACACUUCCUUGCAGAAAGAGUUUUGCAUGAGACAAGGAAGAAGAGAGGCCUCAGACAAUGCCUUCAUUCCACGUCUCCAUGAAGACUUAUAAUCGAGAGGCAAAUUCCUGGUGCUGCAGCGCAGUGAGAGCAUGUGGCUGCAGGCAGAGCCCUGCGCCAGGAGGGCCAACAAACCUCCCUUCGAGGCAGCACCCAGCUUGAUGAAUGCCUGCAGCCAUUGCCAGCACCGGACAUCCCCACACACUGAGGACCACAGCCCCUGCCAGGCUUGAGAAAGGUCAAGUGCUGCUGUCCGCACCUCAACCAGCGUGCCCCCUCCUAGACACAGAUACAUACACAAAAAAUUGCAUGCAGAUAUGUACAUACAUCUAAAUAUGUUAAUCUGUUCACUGUACACACCCAUCUCUCCCUGUCCCACUCUCCUGUUAUCUAUUAUUCUUGCACGCUGCUGAUGGCAUCAACAUAUUCACAGCUUUUAUUUCAGUCACAAACUGGUAGGCAUGCUUCCUUUUUUGGUAAUCACAUGCCUGGUAUCUCUCUAAUGUAGCCUAAUAACAAUUUUAGCAUUCAGAUAAAAAGAUUUCAUUCUGUGAUUGCCUUUUCUAUUAGAUUUGAUUCUGAGAAGCCCCAGUGGGUGCCUCCGAGGCAGAGAUCUAUCUGUGAGGCUGCAACCGAUUCAAUAGCAGCCUGAGCUAACCUUGACCUUUCCCUAGACCCUACUCCAUCUGGUGCCAGCCUGGUCCCCCCCUUCUCCUCCUCCUUGCUUCACAGGCAGCAUUGAUCAAGACGAAAUCGAGCGGCUCUCUCCCUCGGAGGGCUGGGCAGUCACAGGAAGGACAGCACAUUUCACUAUAUGGAGACAACUGAGCUUCUUAUGCAAUCAUAUAUCUACAUAGAGGCUUCUGAUUUGAUAUUUCCUUCACUUCCUAAGGUUCUCCCCUCCCUCCCCCAGCAGGGAUUUAUAAACUAUAAGACAACCGCUUUCCCCAACACCUGGAAAUUAUAAAGCUGGCUGUUGGGAACGCAUCCUGGCGAUUUGAUCUGAUUUACUUGGCUUCUUAUUUAUUUCCUUGCAGCUCGCUCCAUCUUUUUCCUGCGUCCGUGGUUCUGUAUCUCUGUCUCUUCUUUCUGUUAUUUUCCCCUGUUCGGCGGCGGCCUUUAUUCAUCUCCUCGGGGAUGCCGGGUGCCGCUGUGGGUAGGCUGGAGGGGCCAGCUGGUGGCUGGCCGGCUCGGGAGGACCGGCUCCCUCCGAACCCCGGCACCGACUGUCGGCUCUCUCGGCCGCGUUUCUCUGUCUGGAAAUGAGAAGAGGCUCCCGCGAUCAAUCGGCACUCAGCACUUCGUGCUUCGUGUUCUUCCCCUCUUCUCCGCUCUGCCGCUGCACCUGGCCCCCAGCACUGCCUGGCCCCCAGAGCUCAAGCGGAAUUGCGCCGUGCCCCACGGCCCCGCACCGCCCCACGGCCCCGCGCAGCCCCGCGCCGCUCGCCGAGGCGUUCCGACGCGCUCCCGCCCCCGUUCCCUCUUCGGCAGCAGCCGCGCUGGGGUUCGCCUCGCGGACAACCGCCGCGUCCGCGCUCUCAUCUCCUCUCAUCUCCGUGUGGGUUCCUUAAUUGCCAGGACGUUCGUUUACAAUCCGCGAUCUGCUUUUUCUUCCCAAGAAUUGUAGCAUGACCGCGUUUUCUCAUCUCACACCAGUCUUCAGAUUAUAUAACAGAUGAUGCAAAAUUAUAAUGACGAUCUAAUCUAUGCACACUGUAAUUAUAGAGUUUCCUGCACACACACAGCUCUUGCAGUAUCUGCAGAGCUGACAACUGGCUGUAGAUGCAGAGUACAAAAGAUAGAGACUGAUAUUUGGACCCACAUAUGUUUAAGAGAGAGAUAUUACUUAAUGGGAGAAGGGAUCUGGAAAUGCAUUUCUCUUUCUUCUGAGGAAUUUGUUUUGCUUUAUCUCCAUCGGUUGUAAUAGGAAGAAACUGUGAAUUACGCUGAAAAAAAAAAAAGACAUAUACUCAAUUUAUCAGUUUACUAUUACAUUUCCUAUCUCCAGUGUUACAAAGAUUUAGAACAUUUCCAAAACUUUUGGAUCUAAUCUGUGUUUUGUGCAGCCUACAGUUUGUUUGCAGGACCUGCCACCACACGCCAGCCAAAAAUGAGUGUCAAUUAAUAACAAAAAACUCCCUUCCUUCCUUAUUUCUGCACUCUCAUACCUUAACGGAUAAAACUACUGAUGGUGAGAAUUUUCCAUUACCAACAGUUUUUAUUCUAAAGCACCAAAGCUUCCCCACAUAGAGCUGCUGAAUAUUUCCUUGCUUUUCCCAGUGGCAAUUUACGCACACCACUGCUCAUUUGAAAUAUAAAGAAUAUUCAGCACUUUCAGGAGUGUUUUUUCUGCUACCCAGAUCAGCCAGUAGAACCAAUUGCAAAUCCAGUGACUGCACUGUGCUGUUUGUGGCGUUCCAAAUUAGAAAUCAUUUGAAACCAGAAGUAGGAGGGUUUGUUGGUUUUGUCUUUUUUUUUUCUACUGUUUUCUACAACGUCAGAAGUAACUGAAAAAACAUUCACCCUUGUGACACAACAGAAUUUAUGAGCUCUUUUCUUUCUGAGCUACCUGAGCAGUCCUGUCAUCCCUGCAGAAAUGCCCAUGUGUGGGUUGCUGUUUAAAACCGUAUUCUACUUAUCAAUAAAAUGUGAAAUGGCUUAAAAAAC
ensembl:lncRNA